UACGUAGGGGGCAAGCGUUGUCCGGAAUUAUUGGGCGUAAAGAGCUCGUAGGCGGUCUGGUGCGUCGGAUGUGAAAACCCGGGGCUCAACUCCGGGCCUGCAGCCGAUACGGGCAGACUAGAGUUCGGCAGGGGAGACUGGAAUUCCUGGUGUAGCGGUGAAAUGCGCAGAUAUCAGGAGGAACACCGGUGGCGAAGGCGGGUCUCUGGGCCGAUACUGACGCUGAGGAGCGAAAGCGUGGGGAGCAAACAGG
rnacentral:rRNA from 1 species